rnacentral:rRNA from 1 species
UACGUAGGGUGCGAGCGUUGUCCGGAUUUAUUGGGCGUAAAGAGCUCGUAGGCGGUUUGUCGCGUCGGCCGUGAAAUCUCCACGCUUAACGUGGAGCGUGCGGUCGAUACGGGCAGACUUGAGUUCGGUAGGGGAGACUGGAAUUCCUGGUGUAGCGGUGAAAUGCGCAGAUAUCAGGAGGAACACCGGUGGCGAAGGCGGGUCUCUGGGCCGAUACUGACGCUGAGGAGCGAAAGUGUGGGGAGCGAACAGG